UGGGGAAUCUUGCGCAAUGGGGGAAACCCUGACGCAGCGACGCCGCGUGCGGGAUGAAGGCCUUCGGGUUGUAAACCGCUUUCAGCAGGGACGAGGCCUUAUGGUGACGGUACCUGCAGAAGAAGCUACGGCUAAAUACGUGCCAGCAGCCGCGGUAAUACGUAUGGAGCAAGCGUUAUCCGGAUUCAUUGGGCGUAAAGCGCUCGUAGGCGGUCUGUUAGGUCGGCAAGUUAAAUCCGGGGGCUCAACCCCCGUCCGCUUCCGAUACCGGCAGACUUGAGUUUGGUAGGGGAAGGUGGAAUUCCUAGUGUAGCGGUGGAAUGCGCAGAUAUUAGGAAGAACACCGGUGGCGAAGGCGGCCUUCUGGGCCAUAACUGACGCUGAGGAGCGAAAGCUAGGGGAGCGAACAGG
rnacentral:rRNA from 1 species